rnacentral:rRNA from 1 species
AGUUGGUGGAGCGAUCUGUCUGGUUUAUUCCGAUAACGAACGAGACUGUGACCUACUAAAUAGUGGGCGCAUCGUUACAGUGCGUUUCACUUCUUAGAGGGAUAAGCGUUUUUGAAGACGCAUGAAAUACAGCAAUAACAGGU